AAGAUAUUUAAGAAACUAAUUUUGAAUUUUUUUAGAAGAUUUGGGUACCCAAGAACCUUUCAGAGUGGAAAACCUGUACAGUUGAAUGUGAAAGCUCUCUCAGCCUUGCCCAUCAAUGCACUCCCCUUCCUGCCAGUGCUCUUGGCAUCUUUCCGCUCCUGGAACAGUUAUUUGGGCAUUGUUGUUUACUUCCUUGGAGACAGCACCUAAUGUACAAUCAAAAUCAAUGGCAAAACCUUCAUCAACUUCCAGGAAAAACAGAUCCAGUCUAUACGUUGAAUACGAAGAAGUGUGCUGAUGAAACUUUCUGAUGAAAUCUACUAAGGACGCUAAUUUAGGAAACACCAGAGAAGCAAACAGGAAGAACUUGUAGACUUGACAUAAAGGUUUGACAGAGCAAGUGUGGGAAGCCACCAUCACAUACUUGUCCUGUAAUUGAGGAGCUCAUUGACUGGAAACAAGCAACGAGAUGAAAAGUUCUGUGUCUACAGGUUGAUGGCAGGAUGACAAUGGACUUGCAGAAUGAUGCAUCCAUAAAAAAAAAAAAAAGAAAGAAAUGUGAUAUUAAGACAUGCAAGGCCAUUCCCUUGCACAAUUCCUUCAUAGGCUACUGGCGUAGUAUGAAAUGGUGCUCAAUUCUGUGUUUAAGAAAGAUGAGCUUCAACAAGAGCCAGCACACUGAAGGGUUAAUCAAAGACUGCUGAGAAUAGGGAAAAAAAAAAAAAAAAAAGAUUUAAAGAAUUUUGCAUUGUUUGGUCUAGCAAACCUAAAGCCUAGGCAUUUUUUAAUAAACACUAUUGAGAGAAAAACUAGCCAUGAAUCAAUUUAGGAUGGAGAUUAAGAUUUCUUAUCCUUGCAGGACUAGGUUUUUGGAACAACUUGUUUUAAGAUUAGUCGUUAUAAAUUUGUGCAAGGAUUGCAUGACAAAGCCACAAGCAAUAACAAGGGAUAGGCUUCAUUGACACAGAAUGUUCCAGUCCUGGGAGUUUUUGCUGCUUGGUAUUAAAAACACGAUUACAACAACUGCUGGGAAAAAUGAAAGAAAACAAAAAGAAAAAGAAAAAAAAAAAAGAAAAAAAAAGAAAAAAAAAAAACAUUGGGCUGCCUACAACUGUCCUCUAACAAUGGGUAUUUUUAUUAUUAUUGAAAAUAGGAACAUUUCCUUCAGAUAA